GUGGUCCGUGCAGGGACCAGGGCAGGGACCACUUGCGGUCAGGAGGGGUUUUGGGGUUCUCAGGGGCCUCUCAGGGAGGUAAGAGGUGGCAAAAUUGGGAGCCGCCUGUUUCUCCGAGCUGUUGGACUCUGGAGGCUGCAGGGCAUUUAUUUAUGAACUCAAGCAGCUAGCACAGAACUAGACUCGUCAAAAGGAGAGCAAAAGGAAUGGAAGAAACAGGGCGUCCAACUUGCCUUGUCUACUGUGGUAGAGGGCCUCCAGGCUGGAUGCUUGUUCUUUUUCCUCACCUGCAUCUUACCAAGAGUCUGUGGCUGUCAGGAAGUCCUUUGCAUGUCAAGUGAAGUGCUAACCAAUGAACACACGUCCAACGAUGGGACACUGACAGAAGGUUGCGUUCUUCCUUGAAAUUCAAACAUCAUAUCAACUUGAUUUUUCUCAUCCUCUCGGCAAGAAAAGAUGACUAAAGACUUUACAAUGCAGAAAAUGUACCCACUGACUUUAUAACAACAGAAUAUCAACCUAUUCAUUUUUGGAUAUAAGUGAAUUAUUGGCCUUCAGUCUGCCAAGAAAGUUAAAAGAAAACAAAAAGAGAUAUAAAAAAGAAAACUGGUCUGGGGGCGGUCCAUGCCGAAAAACAGCAAUGAUAAGUGAAAAUAUUUACAUCUUGAAAGUGAUUCAGAACAAAGGAAACCAAAAAAAAAAGAAGGAAAAGCCUAACUUUACCAUUCGUAGCCAAGAUGGGAUAAAGCCUUUAUACAGACUCAUGAAUCCUUCUCCUUGAACAGCCUGAAUCAAGCAAUCUGUUGAUGAUUUAUAUAAAAGUCCCCUAAAAAAAGAAGCAAUACAGUUUUGUUAAAUAUUGUAUGUGUAAAUAGAUGUAGGAAUAAAAUAUAAAUAAACACUAAUA